GACGAACGCUGGCGGCGUGCCUAAUACUUGCAAGUAGGACGAGUUGCGAACGGGUGAGUAACGCGUGGUAACCUACCUAUUAGAGGGGGAUAACUAAUGGAAACGGUAGCUAAUACCGCAUACCAUUGGUUUGGCCCAGAUGGGAUUAGCUAGUAGGUGGGGUAACGGCUCACCUGGGCGACGAUCCCUAGCUGGUCUGAGAGGAUGACCAGCCACUCUGGAACUGAGACACGGUCCAGACUCCUACGGGAGGCAGCAGUGGGGAAUAUUGCACAAUGGGCUAAAGCCUGAUGCAGCCAUGCCGCGUGUAUGAAGAAGGCCUUCGUGUUGUAAAGUACUUUCAGCGAGGAGGCGUUACUCGCAGAAGAAGCACCGGCGAAGGACGUGACAGCAGCCGCGGUAAUAC
rnacentral:rRNA from 1 species